rnacentral:rRNA from 1 species
AGAGUUUGAUCAUGGCUCAGGACGAACGCUGGCGGCGUGCUUAACACAUGCAAGUCGAACGGUAAGGCCCUUCGGGGUACACGAGUGGCGAACGGGUGAGUAACACGUGGGUGAUCUGCCCUGCACUUCGGGGUAAGCCUGGGAAACUGGGUCUAAUACCGGAUAGGACCAUGGACUUCACGGUUUGUGGUGGAAAGCUUUUGCGGUGUGGGAUGGGCCCGCGGCCUAUCAGCUUGUUGGUGGGGUAAUGGCCUACCAAGGCGACGACGGGUAGCCGGCCUGAGAGGGUGUCCGGCCACACUGGGACUGAGAUACGGCCCAGACUCCUACGGGAGGCAGCAGUGGGGAAUAUUGCACAAUGGGCGCAAGCCUGAUGCAGCGACGCCGCGUGAGGGAUGACGGCCUUCGGGUUGUAAACCUCUUUCAAUAGGGACGAAGCGCAAGUGACGGUACCUAUAGAAGAAGCACCGGCCAACUACGUG